rnacentral:tRNA from 2 species
UGCACUCGUAGCCUAGCUAGGAUAAGGCGCCGGCCUUCUAAGCCGGAGACCGGGGGUUCAAAUCCCCCCGGGUGCGU